AAAGCCAGUCCCAGUUCGGAUAAGAGGCUGAAACUCGCCUCUUUGAAGUCGGAAUCGCUAGUAAUCGCAGAUCAGCAUGUUGCGGUGAAUACGUUCCCGGGUCUUGUACACACCGCCCGUCAAACCAUGAGAGUCACCAACACCCGAAGUCCGCCUUGGCGGCCUAAGGUGGGGGAGAUGAUUGGGGUUAAGUCGUAACAAGGUAGC
rnacentral:rRNA from 1 species